GAUGAACGCUAGCGGCAGGCCUAAUACAUGCAAGUCGAACGGUGUCUUCGGACAUAGUGGCGCACGGGUGCGUAACACGUAUGCAACCUACCUUACAUUGGGGGAUAGCCUUUCGAAAGGGAGAUUAAUACCGCAUAAGACAGUAACUAGGCAUCUAAUAGCUGUUAACGAUUUAUCCAUGUAAGCUGGGCAUGCGUCCAAUUAGCUAGUUGGGGGGGUAACGGCUCACCAAGGCAAUGAUGGGUAGGGGAACUGAGAGGUCAAUCCCCCACACUGGCACUGAGAUACGGGCCAGACUCCUACGGGAGGCAGCAGUAGGGAAUAUUGGGCAAUGGACGCAAGUCUGACCCAGCCAUGCCGCGUGCAGGAUGAAGGCGUUAUGCGUUGUAAACUGCUUUUAUACAGGAAGAAACGACUCUAGCGAGAGGCAUUGACGGUACUGUAUGAAUAAGCACCGGCUAACUCCGUGCCAGCCGCCGCGGUAAGAC
rnacentral:rRNA from 1 species